ensembl:lncRNA
ACAUUUUUACGGCUUUUUGGGGACUUUCCAGGUCGUACAGGCUCACAUUUUCAAGGACUUCUCUAACAUGCACAACGAGAAAGAAAAAAAGAGCACCAAGUUUAAUCUAAGGGACGUCUAAUCAUUUCAACUCUCUGGCGACAUCCGUGCAGUUGAUAAGCAGCGUGAUGUGGUCCACUGAGGGCCUGCCAGGGAGAUAAAGGCCGUGUGCUCCGCUCCCUCUAACUGCCCCCUGCGGAUGUCUUGGCAGAUAAAAGUCGUUUUCAAGCCUCUUCCCUUGUCGUUGUCAGUAUGUAAAAUGCAUCUCCCACCCCAAAUGUGUCCUCUGAUUCAGCCGAAUAGGCACGAUCACCGAUUCCUUUAAUGUUAACUAAAUUGGAAUGACAUCUGUUCACCAAAAACAGCACCCUUCAGCUAUUUGAAUUAGUUUUGUUAAGUUAAGAUAUUCCCCGCAUCAACUGCCAUUGUUAUAUGUACGCGUCAUGUCUUUCUUUUCCCUUGUUUGGAUGCACAAAGCAGCAGCAAUACCCUAAAUUAUACGGGGUAUUAUACAGACUGAGAAAAAAAAAUAAUCUGUGUAACCUUCUGGAAUCGAGUUUGUGCAGCAUCAAAAGAUCAAAAGAUAGGAAUUGCAAAGAGAGCCUCCCUUUAAACAAACAGGAAAUGCACAUAAAAAAAGAUACACACCGGCGCUGCACACACCCUCGCCCUGCAACAUUCACACACACCUCCCUAUACUUCUCAGCCCCUGUUAGCAGUUCUCAGAAUCCUCAGUUAAUAAUUAGAUGAUAAUGAAAAAGGUCUAAGAACAAGCCCCCUUUUCACUCCCCGGGUGGAUUAGCAUGUGAGUGCUAUGCUAAUGCUUUUCCUUCCUUCCGCUCAGUAACCGCAGAAGCACAAAAAGGGACAGGGCACAAAGGAAGGAGAAAAGAAACCCAAUUUAGGAGGAAAUAAAUGAUUAACAAAGAGCAAUUGGCCAUUAUGGAAGAUAAAAAGAGGUGCUUCUCUUAGAAUGAACGUGACAUGGACCUUGAAUAACAAUCCACUCCGUGUAUAAUUAAUUGUAUAUCCCGUAUGGCGUUUAUAUUGUCUUCAAGUCAGGCUCUGUAGAAGCCUGUUUAGGUAAUGGAGACAGACAAGUAGUUUGACAUACAGACAGAAUUAGACAGCAGCGCUGCAGCAGCUGCUGGAUUCAUUUGUAUACACCCCCAACACACACACACACACUGAUCCCCCCCCCCCUCAAACCCCUCAUACAUUUUUAAUAGAAUCUAUUACUUCUGGAUUAGCCGAUAAGAGCUGGCCUGGUUAAAUUCUAUAAUAGUUUGCAUAAUUGGUAUCAGAGCAGCACAUAAGAGAGACCCAGAUUUCUCUCUUCUCCUUCUGUGGAGAAAAAGAAAAGAGAAGGACACAAAGGUCCACAUACAGGAUAACUAAACAACCGGGAGCCACUCUGCAAGAACAUUUCAGGCCUGCGGCUGAUAACAAUGAGCCUCAUUUCCAUUAGGAUUAGCUAAAAUGUAUUACAACUGUGGUAAAAAGCCUUUCCUGUACAACACGUAUGGAAAUACAAUCGCCGGGCAAUAUUCAAACAGAUGUCCAGCGCCUUCGGUUGGGUGUAAAUCCUCCUGCCUUGAUGACUGGCCGUCUGGGGAAAAGAUAUUAACAUUACAGGUUCUACCGUGUAUCGUUUUUGCCAUCACAAGACAGUUGUGUUAAGUCUGUAAAUGCUAAACAAACAGGCAAACAACUCGUAUGUUUGAACAGCCUCUAAAGCAUCUCACACAUAUUUUCUUCACAAUGCAUGUAGAAAUCAAACUAGUUGACGUAUACAAUAUCAAAUAUGGUCUGUCAGUGUUGACUUCCACGCUAUAUUAUAAACUUUCACUAUAUUGAAAUUGUGUGUUUUCCCUGCGUGUUCAACGAAUGUUUUUAUGUGUCUUAUGCUAUUGCUGAUGCAUUUUUUAAUCUGUAUAAUGAUCUAUAUCAAUCAGUAUUUUGUUACCAACUACUUUGAACAGCAUUAUUCACUUGAAUCCUAUAUUGCGUCAAGCUUAACAUUAUUUGGGGGGUGAAAAUGAACGUGUUUUUCAUGUAGAAGCUUGACUGAGACAGGAAUUUCAACAAAAAAGCACGUUUGAAUAUCUUUUUAUCCUCUGUGGCUUCGUGUUUCUGCCCAACAGUGAAAAAAUGUGCAUCACCAUCAAUUGGAGUUUUAACAUCUUUUCACUGCAGCAACAAAUGGUUUCAAACACACGACGGUCCAAAUCCCCGGGAUCAGAGACGUCACGAUUCCUUUCAGCAGCAGCCACAGAGCAGCAGGACGACUCUUUCAUUUGUUUACAAUACAAAUAAUGAAUCAUUUACUAUGGAGCCAUUUUUGUGAGUCUGUCGUUACCAGCGGCGUUGGUAGAACGAUGAUCAUGUCGGUUUACCCACCAUUAUAAAUCAAUAUCAAAUGAUAUAACAACCAACAAUGCAAAUAUUUGUUUGUUGUUCUUCAUUGUUUGAAUAUGCGUUUGUGAAGGCGAUAAUAAGGAUUUUAACUGAUACACAGAUGCUGAGAACUAAUUCCGCCGAGCUGCACAAUCGAGUCUUAUCUUUGUCAACAAGCCUCGGUAAAGAGUAGAAAGCCUUGGACUGACCAAAAGGCGCCCUGGCCCACAGACGGUGCCAAGGUAAAAGAAACACACAGCACGGGGGUGAAGUCUGUGCGAUGCCAAGGUGGCAUUGGACGGUAAACAGAGCCUUAUCUUAUCCUUUUCCCAGGAUGCACGCUGAGCCACACUGUCAGAGAGCCAUGCCGUCCAAUCUUUAGAGAAACCUUGACUUAAAAGAUAACAGAUGGUAAAAGAGUGAGCUGGAGGUUUUGUGGAAACAUGAGCUGUGAGGAAUUUUAAUUCAAUGUCGCUCAACUCAGAUACGGUUUUGAAUCAUUUUUAAGUCUCCUAUUCUGGUCAACUGUUGUUAAAACCAACAAUGACUACACAAUAAGCCAAACCCUCCGUCCUGUGGCCUUUACUGUUACGCUUUCAAGGGUCACUGAUUCCUUCCAGUCAUUAAAAUCUCCAAGCGAACAUGAAACUCAUUAGAAACUGUAGAGAAAAUGCUCCCUGCAAUGUGGGAGAUAACCUAAUGAUACGUGCUCUACCAUGCGUCACCGAAACAUCAAAAUGCUUCUUUGAUCUCUGGACCAACUAAAAAUGUCAUCAUCUCAAAGCCGCUGUGUGGAGGGCAAAUGAUGAUGACGCAUCAGAUGCAAUUUGGAAGGCUUAAUCAUUAACUUAAAGUAAUGACUGAGUGCCGUCAUGUAGACAAAACAGAGAUGACCGGAGCUCCGAAUAAACUUGUCCCCUCCCCAAUGACCUCGGAGGCCCAGUCCUUAACCUCCCACCCUUAACCCCCGUCCCGCUCCCCCUUCAUCCCAUUAGACUGAAAAGACCAAUUAGACAGAUUUCAGGAGACGGUAGGCUGCCCGUAAUUACACAUGACAUCUUUCAGCAGAUAAAAAGGUGAUUAUAAAAGGGCGUACGAGGCAAACUGCGAAGCAUCCAAGCCUUUAGACGUUAUUUCUACGAAACAGAGGUUGGUUCCAUAAUCCACAACGGAAAACCCCCACUGUAGCCUUAACAAGCCUUAAAUAUGAGGUACUUAGUGACAUGGCAGAAAGAGGCAUGACCUUAAUCCGUCCUUGCACCGGCCCGGGUAAUAGUCAUCCAAGAAAAGGUCAUUCUCGUGGAGAGCCGCUUCCUCCAUUCAGUAAUUCGGUCGGCAUGGAGAUUGAGCGAGCCUGGGGAAACUUCACAAUAAAUCAGAGCUCAGCUUCGCUCCCGAGGAGGCAAAGGGAAGCAGGCAGCCAAAUGACAAAUCCCUUCCCUUCGCCGAGUCGGAAUUACUGCUGGGGUGUGAUGCCAGAUCAGAGGGAACCCCCCUUUCCCCCCCCCCCCCCCCGUUCCCUCUCUCAUGGGAUACCUGCACAUUGACUGCUUACAACGCGACGCGAUUUACGAGCCUCCCGAGCAACUGCAGGUCGAUGCGGAGCCCAUUUCAAAUACAACCAAAGUGCGAGUAUGUCAUAAAGACUCGUUACGUAUUACACUCUGUAAUUGAAGAAGAACGGUGCUGUCUAAAAUGAUAUGACAUGAAAAACACGCGGCACAGAGCGGUCACCAGGCCAAGCCGGACCUUUUCUAAUGACUAUACGUGCCGAUACGCUUUACGACGAAAGGGGGAAAUGGCACUAAAACAUUAUAUUACGACACUGGUCGGAAAGCCAAAGCCAUUUGAAUAUGAUUAAAGGCAAUCGUAAGAAGGGAAAGAUAAGCCUAUUCCUGAGAGUCCCAUGCCUCAAGGUGCAAAUAAAUCAAGUGGGGGGUGGGGGGUUGAGGUAUUUUUCUCUUUUGGUAAGAAAACAGCCAGGAGAAAAGAAGGGGGCUUGCAGGCUUUCCUCCUCUGCCUCCGGUGGGAGGCUGUGACAUCCCAUCUCUCUUGGUAAUAAAGGAUCUGGCACAAGCAGAAAAAGAAAAAGAAAAAAAAAGCAUGCGGGGUAGAAUUUCACACCUGGCCAAUAAUCUAUAGGCCCCCUUCUCUGCUGCGUCUAACCUUCAACCUCGGCUGCCACCGGUGCAGUGAGGUGCGAUGAUCCCACCUCCGGCUUCGAGACAAUAGAAAUGGAAACCUUCUGACUCAGCUCCGAAUGACCGAUAAUACACUUCAAAGCACUUCCCGCAUCCACCGAGAUGCUGACAUAUAAAGCGACCUUUACACUGCGCGCAAAUGCCAAAUGGAAAGGAUGAGACUACAAAUUGGAUCAACAACACAGUAGUUUCCAGAAGAAAGAAGAAAAACUACAGAUUGUUGUUGCAAAUGUGCAUUAAUAUUUAACAUACAACUAUUAAACACAUGGAGGUUUUUAAUUCUACCAUUCAAUAAACCAAACUACUCUUAUACAUAGGGAACAUAAUGCCUAACCUCAUAGUUGGCCCGGCCCCCUAUAAAUACGCAUUAGCCAGUAGAAGCACACUGACAUCCAGUAAGGGCGAGACGCUCCUGUCCAUUAGUGCGCACCGGGCAUCUUUCCCCACCUUUCCCCACUUUCUCAUCAUCUUUACCAACACGGAUUAUUUGUCUCACUCUGUUAUUGUCAAUAAGUUACACGGUUACAGUUAAAAAAAAACAAUUCGGCUAGAGUAACACCCCCACACACACACUCUCUCUCACACACACACACACACACACACACACACACACACACACACACACACACACACACACACACACACACACACACACACAGUGCAUUGGAAGAUUAAGCAUGUAAAUGAGAAACAUAAUGCUUACAGAGUUGUGUCUUAUCAUAAGGCUUGUUUUAUCUUUGGUUUUCCGCGGCUGACUGGCUGUUCUCCCGCUCGGAAGGCGUAUUUCCUCCGCAAAAGCAAUCUUGAUGCCACUGAUUUCGCGAAGGCUCCGGAGGUGCAGGCUCAUCCAUCGAUGAAGCCGGCUUCCGCUCACUGCACUCCCGCGACGACAUUCAGCGGUCACGCAGAAAGAUCGCUCCUCCGGUUGGGCUUUUUUUUUCUUUCUCUCUCGCGUAUUUGCCCCGGUCUCAUCUCGGCAGCUCGGACGGGCUGUGUGUGUGUGUGUGUGUGUGUGACGGGUAAUGAGUGAUGUCGGAAUGGAAAUGAGUCCCCUCCAUCUCCCCCCUCCGCCCGCCCCCCCACCGCGCUGUGGAAACCGGCUCUGGACCAAUCAAUCAAGGCCGCAUUUGAAUAUUCCCACGGCUCGGCCAAUCGGAGGGGAGGGAAGGCGGCAUCCGGCGCGACGCUGAACGCGUCCAAGUGGGCGCGCUUGCUGUUUCGCGGAAACAUUUAAAGGGAAAAGACCGUCGUGUGUCGAUCGAAACGCGAACGCAAGCCGAUCGAUAUGAGAAGAAGCUUUUCAUUUUAGAAGAAUAUGAGAAAAAGCUUUUUCCCCCCUGUACAGCAGAUGUUUUCCCAGAGAAGCCGAUGAAGUGUUUAUGAUGCCACAUCGUACGACAGAUCUAAAAGUAAAUCAGCUAAAGUCCCCUCCAACAGUUGUUUUAUUACUAUUUUAGAUGCAUUAACAUGUAGGCACAAUUUCAAAAUAGUCGGUCAACGUUGGCUGUGUACAUUUUUGAAAUAUGUUUAUUUGCAUUAUUACACACGCACCUUUUUUUAGUUUAAAUUUGCACUUUAUACACUUUCCUACUUUGUAUUGCAACUGCUGCAUAGUUUCCCCUCAGGAAAACAGCGUUUCUGCUGGUUACUAUUUUAUACUGCUGCUUAUCCUUCCCAUAGCCAAGCUAAGCCGGUGGAGUAAAAAAUGACAUUACAUCUUCUCAUCUAAUUCUCAACAAGAAAGCAAACAGGCCACGUUUGUUUUCAGGCGUUUUCAUCCUGUGAUGCUGAAUCAGAUUUUAAAGACCCAUUUGUCAAUAUAUAACGCACAAAGCUGCACUCUACAUCUUUUUUUUCUGAUAAAGACAGUUAAGUGCACACCAGGAAACUUAAGCAGACAUACUCCGACCCACUGUGGUCAUGAGAAAGAAUACAUUGUUUUCUUUACAGCUUCCUGAGUGAUUUUUGUAUGAAUUAGUCCUGCAGAUGGCAAAUGAGGUUACUAUGACAACUAAUGUUCUUUUUUUAAAUACUGAAGACGUGGAUGGGUUAUUGUUCUCUAAUUGAUCGCUUGUCGUUGUAAUGGCUAAAUGGUUUAUCAUAAUGGGUCCACAGUCAUGUGCUUUAGAAAUAUCAUGCAAACAUUAUACUGAUGCAAUUUUUGCCAGUCAAAUAAAUGUUCAAAUCUUUAAACUACACGUGUAGUAGUUCCGUUUACUAAAGGAUUAUUCAGAGGUGCUAACCAAACUGCACAACAUCUUAUUGAGAGAGCUGUCAAAUAAAUAGUAAUUAUAGUGUAAUUACAGAGUAGACCAGCAUUACCCCUUGCAUAUUUUCUUUCUUUCUGCUGUAGAAAGGUGUGUGGUUUACAGGUAUCCUUCAGUCUUAAAGGGUUUGCAGUUUUUACAAACUGUUCUAUGUCAUUCAGCGAUGCAGUUUGCUGAUGGUAUUUAAGGAAAAUGUAAUAUUAUUUAGUUUUCUGUCAGAGAGAAAGAUAGAGAGUUGCAAAUGGUGUUCCUAGUGUCGUAUUUUGCUGUGUAAAGCAUGUUUACUAUGAACAUUGUCCAUUCACACAUGCAGAGUUACUAGUAUCUCAUCAAUGUGAACAUCUGUAAACAAGUUAAGCAUGAGAAUAAUAUGUACAUUUUUAAUUAAAACAAAUUGUUGAGGGAAGAUGGGUUUAGAAUGCACACAGUAUGUGUAACUGUUUCCUUCUCUUUUGGCCAUGUCAUCGUGUCCUCAAAUGAUGUCGAGCUCUACCUCUUAAGACGGUUCUCAUCAGACCAGAAUGUACCUGGCAGUGACGCUAAUAAAGAGCUCCAUCUGCGCCUGGCAGGCAGUGGCAAAUGACCCAAUUAAGGUCCGGUGAAGUCUCCUCUUUCACCUAUUGGCAAUGGCUGCUGUCAUCUUCAUCGUGAUGAAAAGCAGAUAGUGCAAAGGUAAUUAAAUACCAGAAGGGACCCGGGGGCAAACCUAAUAACUCCUCGUAACAAGCCAAUAAGAAAGCUUACUUCAACCCAAAGCAUGUGCCUGCUGAAGAGGACCACUUACUGAUAGUCAAUAGGCCUGCAGGUUUCCCGGAGAAGAUUGACCUUGGGGAGCAAUAUCUGCAAUAGCUCGGAGGCAAAUUACAAAAAGCCUCCUGGCCGACCACCGUUUAUCUACCAAAGUGAUCUCUUCUGCUCUAGUCGGAACUGGAUUUCAUGUGAACCCAAAGACUUUGCUUUGCAGGGUAAACAUACCGACAGCAACGUCUCUUGUGGUGUUGCCAUCUGCUGGCAGAGGUAUGGUUUUUGCAGCAAUAUUCUGAGGCUUCGAAGUACGUGCAGUACUGAAC